UUUUUUUUUUUUUUUUUUUUUGCCAGUUCUAUUCCUUUAAUUUCUUCCUUGGUCUUUUGUAUAAAUCAUUCUAAUCAUUUCCUAGAACUUAGCCAAUUUGAUUUAUGCACACUCCAUCCACAUGUGAUUAUUCUUCUUACUAUUAGGAGGCAAGGGCUGCAUCAUUGACCCAAGUGAUAGGAUCUAAGUGUGCAGGCACAGCGACCCUCCAUUUAUUGACCUCCAAUGUUUUUCUUGAUUAACCUACAUUUUGUGAUAUCAAGACAUAACAUUUCAGACAUUUUCUGCCUCUGUAAAAUUAGACUCUAAAUUUAAGGGUAGCAUUUUAUUUUCAUGGCAAACUAUACACAUCCUGUGUUCAUCCUCCAGCCCACCCACCUUAUACAUUGUCACCUUAUCUUUCUCCAUGACAAACGUCAUGUCUCUGUGAUCCACGCACUGUCUUUGUGAUCUUUCUUUCCUACUAAGAACUUUUGUGUGUUUUGAAAUUUUAGAAAUUCCAUUUUAAUUUUUGAAUAUGUUUCUUUUUAAUGUGUAAAAUCAACUUGAUAAUAGUGGAGGCAUAUUGUUUGAGGGGAGUCAAAAUAACGAAUAUAUAAAGAAUAUAAAUCUUUAGUUCACAUACAUCUCUGCAGGAUGGGGCUGAGGUUUGAGAACAGCUAUACUGUGAGAACAAGCUUUGCAUCCUGUUUAAGAAGUGUGCAUUUUGUCGGAGUACAAGCAAAAUGUGCUGCAUCUAUAAAUGUGAAGAAUAAGACUGAAAAGUUUAAACACACACACACACACACACACACACACACACACACACACACACACUGAUGUUUCUUUUUUUGAGACAAGGUUUUCCUCAAGUCCAGGCUGAUUUGGAACUCAGAGCAAUGAGUUCACCUCAUCCUCUCAGGGCUGGGAUUUACUGGUUUUAGGCAAAUCUGUGGUGACAUUAUUUUAAUACUGUAGGAGCUUAUUCUCUGCUGCAGAGGAGUUCACAUAUAAUUAAAUAAGGCUAGUAUCUCAUGCCAACUUUUAUCUCAUCACUAGUUCAGAAAAUGUAACACUGUGGCCACCUUCUUUUUCUCUUUAUAGUUUUCAAUGUAAAUAAUUUGUUUAGUCCUCUAUGUUAUUUCUAGAAUCGGUGUGCCCUAGGAUUGUGUGUGACUAGGAGGAACAAUGACGAAAAAGCUGUCCAGAUAAUUUACAGUGUGAUUUUUCUCUUCCUUCCUUGUGAACUUUUCUCAAUAAAGAUUCAAGACAGGAGCCAAUUAAAACCCAUACCUACUUAAGGAUAUUAGGAUAUACAACAUUAAUCAAACUACUGUUUGUUGUUUCCUAAAUCUAGUGGUGUUAUUUUUCCACUACUAUUCAUUGCCCACGGAAGGGAAAAUGCCGGACAAGCAAUGGGAAAGUGUUUCCCCCAUAAUCCUGCCACUGCAGAGCAGGCCAACCCAAACACUCUGCUUUGAUUCCUAAAAGUUCCUUAAGUCUGGAAGGAAUUUCAGGGAGGAUCUAGAGUAUGCAUUGUAAAAAGCCACAGGUUAAUUGGAAGUAUAGUCUUAAGCAUCCGCAGGUAACUCUAGUGGUCCUUGUGGGUCCUUCUUAGCAGCCUGGCAUAAGAAAUGGGAAGGUUGAAUGUGCUCAAAGCCGAGAAUCUCAGAAGUGAGAAAGACAGGAGUGGAGCCAUUCCCUGCCCGCCUCUGCCUGCUCUGGAGCGCAUAACCAUGACACCCACUGAGGAGCAUGGGUGAGGGCAUUGGGUCACACGGCAUAACACCUGGAGUUCCGCACUCAUGAAGUAUCUAGAUAACCCUGCGCCUUCAGCCAAGGAGCUUCUCUUCCUGAGUAUUUCUUCCCAAAAUAGGCUUUUACUCUUAAGCAUCCACAGGUAACUCUGAGGUGUUCCUCUUAAGCAUCAUAGUUAUAUGCGGUUGUCAUCUGACCCAGGAUUCUACUGCAGAGAGAAAUAGUUCCUGAACUAAUAUUCACUUAUUUUAAUCCUCAUCCAGAAAAGCAUGUCAUACCUUACAUGGGUAAUUCCGAAAUUAGUAUUUUACUUGUUUUAAUCCUUAUCAAGAAAAGUAUUUGAUUCCUUAGAACAUGGGUAAUAUACUUCAAUUCAAAGCAAAGC
rnacentral:lncRNA from 1 species